GCAGCCUGUUUAACAAGGCCUGUCUGCGUGGGCCGGUCCAUGUUCCGGUUCCGAUUCGGUCUUCCGUGGAUUUUCAUCUCGGAGCAGCGUUUCUCCUGCAGCUGCUAGCAGGCUGUUCUCAGAUGCCUGGCUGUGGCUCAGCUCUUAUCUGUCUGCAAGGGGAUCGGGAACGGCGCGGGGGAGGGCUGAGCGGAGAGGGGGAUCAUGAUGCUGCUAUCUCUGUCUCUCUCCCUCUCUUUCUUUCUUUCUUUCUUUCUUUCUUUCUUUCUUUCUUUCUUUUUCUUUCUUGCCCUCUCUCUCUUGGCUUAUUCCAUCAGCCAGUGUUUGCGGCAACACAACAAGCUCAGAGAUCCACUGGGAAUGGGAGAUAAACCACUGUCCUCACAACAAAGAGCGUGGCACAUGCUGCUCGUACCCCCACCCCUGCCCCGCCCACCGAGGUGAAGUGGGGAGCCAAGAAAUGUGGCAAACAUUCCUCAACAGAUCCAAGGAACCGAGAUAGGACACGACCAAGCUUGACCCCAGACAAACUGUGCAAAGAGCAAACUGGUUCUUGCAGUCGGCUGCUGAAAAAAGCUGUGUGCAACCAAGCUCACGCAGGUAACCUGCAGCAUCUUUCCGUCACCAUCAUGAUGAUUAGAUAAGAAGUUAUCAUGUAAUGUAAUGUUUCCUGUGCCAUCUCUCAGGGCUAGUGAGCCCAGUUCAGUCGGUCCCUUGAAGGAACCGCCCAUCAGCAGAUGCCUGGCACUGCCAAAUAGCCCCGGCGGCAGCAAGAUUUCACAGGAGCUGUUGCAGAUGCUUAGUGUAAUCAGUAAUAAUCUUUGCUCAAAGGCAAGUGAGCUAGAUCUUUUUUUUUUUUUUCAGCACGGCCUCAACUUUGAUAUGUACUUCUAUAGAAUAAAGGCAUCAAGACCUUGGGUUUCAGGGAAAAAUAACAGUGAAUUUCUUUGACACUGGCCUGAAAGCUAUCAAGUGCUAAAAGUGGGUCACACUGUCCAGACUGACAAACCCCUCUCUUCUCCAUAUGUUCACUCAACGCAAACAGGGCUUUCAUAUGCCAGUUUUCCAACCUUCUACAGCAGUUAUUGUGUAUCACUGUGCUUAAAACAGCAGCACACUUGAAAUUUUGGUAGCGUUUCAAAAACUUCAUUUGUUGUAAGAUCUACUGUUUUCAAUAAGUCUUGGAUGGCUUCAAAAGCAGUAGGAAAUGUAGACUCCACCAUUCUUCUACAUUACAUGUAGACUUUGGCCAUUAUAACAACAGCACUUGAGGUUGCAUCCAUAGAGUGUAAUUGAGAGUUUACAGGCAAACAAGUAUUAAAUAGCUUAUCCAACUGCUUUUCCAAAAAGAACCUUGUGUUGGGGAUUAGUUGUAAAUCUAGGAACACAGUGUUCAAAAAAACAGAUGGCACAGGGUUUUAAAGAUUUAUUAGAGGUUGUCUGUAGUGCAUGGACUCGGUCUGAAAUACUUAAAUAUCUCAUUUGGGCUUAUUCAAACACAGCAAUGAUUCCCUGACCAAAUCUCAUCCACAGUCCAUCGCUGACUGCACCAUUCCUGUGGUGCAAACAUUUUCAAAUCUCCUAUGCAUCUUGUAUGAAAUUCAUGGAAAUCCAAUCCAUAUCCCAACUGUAUACAUGUUUUUGGAGCACAUAUUCAAGGGUGUAUGUUAAAGUGCUCCUGAAAAUUGCUGUCUAUCUGACAGCAGCCAGCCCUGCUCAGAAUGUAGGUCAGUGGCAUUUGAACUGGGAAAUCAUAGCAGAACAUGUACACUCUGCAGAGACCUCACUCUCUCCCUACCCUGAAAAUAUAUCAGCAAUCACAUGCAGCCAGAGGUCAAUUAAAUUUAGAUGAGAUUUAUUGAAAAUAGUAGUAAUUGUUAAUGGGUAAAUUGUUAAAACAUUCUGUCUAUCAGUAUAUAUUUAUAUUUUGUAUAUUUAUAAAAUUCCUGUAAAUGCUUUGACUAUAUCUCAUAUUUAUUAGUUAGCAGUAGUUCUGCAUUUGACUAGUUUAUUAUAGUCUUAAUUAGGGGGUGGCAGUUGGUAAAUAUGUGGGAUGGCCUUCAAGUCUGUCUGCAUGACUUCUUCAUUUCAGUCUAUUUUCCAACUAAGGAUAUAUUCAUGUGUUUAAAAUGUCACUGGACAGCACUGAGUUGUUAUUGUCUUCCGGUAGCUGUGCUCUUUGGUUCCCAGGGGUUUUUGCUUUUGUAGACAUCUGAAUAUGCUCCGAUAAAACCUUAUCAUGAGAGAAAUGAAAAUCAACUUCAUUUUUUUUCAGAAGCCUUAUAAAGUAACAUCAGUACCUCCAUUUCAAUUAUUUCAUUAAAUUUAUUUUAAUUCAUUGCAGAUGUAUAUUUAAUGUAGACAAGCAAGAGAUGAUAUUGCAGUCAAUCAUGUGUUUCAUUUGGGAUGCGUAUGGCACACCCAGCCUCCAACCUGUUGCUGCAUGCCUAAUGAACUGUGUAGAACUGUGGAGAGUCAAUAAACUCCUGGUCAGUGUUCUCCUCUUGCCCUUCAGCAGUUACUCCACGUCCAUGCUGGGAGUGUUAUUAGUCAGGAAGAUAAAGAGAGGAGAGGAGAGGAAGUGAACUCUGAGCUUCACCCAUGAGUAUAACAUCAUCACUGCUGUACAGACCUACAUGCAAAGGGACUGAGUGUCAUAUAUGAGCAUGAGUUUAUGCAUCGUGCUUAUUCUAAAGCAUGUGAUUCUUCAUACGAUAAUGGCUCUUUCAUAUUCAAUUUAUGCCUCCUUUCACGUUCUUUUAACUUAGGGAGACAGAUCUUAUAUGAACUCCAAGGAGCUGCUGGUGGGUCCUAACUGAUGUUGCUCACUCUUAAACCUAUAUACCUUUCACAGCAGUGACUGAAUUAUUAGCCUUAUGGUUCAUACUUAAAUAAUAAGUCUAGAGUUUAAGAAGUCAAUAUGAAAUACCAUUAUUGUUAAUAGACUAUUAUAAUUUUAUAAUGAACUAUAGAUGUUACUUCUAUACCACAUUUAUUGGUUAAGUAUGGUAUAUGGCAUGUGUAAUUCUAAUUCAGUUCAAACACUUUUGUACAUGGCCAGUGAUGUGGUUCUGUCAUGGGCAGUGCUGUGUUCUUAUGGGCCGUGCUUGUUUUGGUGGGCAUUGCUGUGUUCUCGUGGGCAUUGCUGUGUUCUCAUGGGCAGUGCUGUGUUCUCAUGGGUAGUGUUGUAUUCUCAUGGGAAGUGCUGUGUUCUCAUUAGCAUUGCUGUGUUCUCGUGGGCAGUGUUGUGUUUUCAUGGGCCGUGCUGUGUUCUCAUGGGUAGUGUUGUAUUCUCAUGGGAAGUGCUGUGUUCUCAUUAGCAUUGCUGUGUUCUCGUGGGCAUUGCUGUGUUCUCAUGGGCAGUGCUGUGUUCUCAUGGGUAGUGUUGUAUUCUCAUGGGAAGUGCUGUGUUCUCAUUAGCAUUGCUGUGUUCUCGUGGGCCGUGUUGUGUUUUCAUGGGCCGUGCUGUGUUCUCAUGGGAAGCCUCAGUGGUUCCCUCAUGAACUCAGGGCUUAGUGCCACUUGGCCCACAUUUCUACAAUGUAAACAUGGUGAUGGAAGGUUAGCAGUUUAGAGACAUCUCACACAUACACACACACACACACACACACAGAGAGCAUGGCUGUUCUUGCUGCUGUGGUCUAGGCAAUGCUCUUCCACAGCCCACCAGGCUUGGGCCUCUAAAUGUAAAGCUCCAGUAGCAGGCAGAAGGCUGGAAAGCUGGAGUCAUAGAACAAAGCACUGAAAGAGAUGGAUGUUCAGGGUCUGGUUUAAACCACACUGCGCUGAGACACAGUUAAAGCUAACGCCGGGCCUUGUAUGGGCUCAUGGCUAGAUGUGGUGGAUUCACUAGCCAAAAUCAUUUUUGGAGUUUUGAGCGAGGACUUUUCUAUGCCAGCCAAUGCGCUACUGCAACAACGCAACGAGGGCCAAGUAUGCCUCAUGCACAACUGAGGCAGUAAUUAAAAAUUGGAGAGAGAGAGAAAGAGAGCGGGAGAGAGAGAACAACGAGAAGCUGUCAUGUUGUGUAUUUCUCAUUAGUUGUUUGCGUGUUGUGAUUAAAUACACUUGUCACAGGUGAAUACUCAAUUGAAACAGAUCACAGCACACUUAGAUGCCUCCUGCCUUGUUGCUGUUUACAUACUGGUUACAGAAGAAGAAAUGGAUACAGUCCACUUAUCGAGUUGUAGGAAAGCAAACUGUUUCUCUUUGUCAAUGUGUGAUGCCUUACAUGCCAUAAUGCUCUGGAACUAGCCUAUUGUACAAACAAACAUGUCAUGUACAAAUUGGGGGGGCUGAGAGGAAGAGGGAGAAAGAAUGAAAAUUGUAGAGAUUGGAAAUGUUUCUUUUCAAACACUUUUUUCACACCUCUCAAAAAAUAGAGAUUUCACAGUGUCAUAUUUAUACCCUGCAAGGCAAAUGAGACAGUUACCUAAAUAGAGAUGGAGCGAUGAAGAGGAGUGGAGGGAUGCAGAGAGAGAGAGAGUCCGUCUAUGCGUGUGUGUGUGUGUGUGUGUCUGUGUGUGUGUGUGUUGUGGACGUUUUGCCUACCUGAAGGUCUUCUGCUUCCAGAGUGAUUGACACAAAACAAAUGCAAUGGUUGCUACAUUUGGGAGGACUUUGGCAUGACCUGUGUAAGGUCAUAUAUAACACAACAGGAGGAUACUAUUACCUAGGGAGCUAGAUGUAACCUGGAUCUGAAGUAUAUUCACAGACAUGAAGGUAAUUACAUUCACCUGCUAAAAUUAUAUAAGUACUAAUGACCUACAUAUACAAGCUUAUUAAUUAUGUUAAUUAAUUCUGUUCAUAAUAUUGUUAACAUAUACUG